UGAACCAAUGGUUGAGCACCAGGUGAGAAGGCUAACCCAGGAGCUCAGGUUCAAGCAAUAUAGCUGAGUGACCAGAACAGGUGAGCCUGGAUCCACUCCUCCUCACCCUCAUUUAAGGAUUAGCAGCUGAGGAAGCAGCUUGUUUCUGGAUGGAUACUGCAUUCUUCUUGAGCUGUCAUUGGAAAGGCUUGGACGGCAACUGUUUGCAUUUCCCUGGUGGAAGCCUCCAGAUGAGACGAGUGCUAAGAAGUGAACUUUUUAUGUUCAGCUGAAUGUGGAAGAGAACAUCUGUCAGUAUUCAACUUGCUGUGCCUAGUUACCUGUAGUAACACUUCUUCCUUUAGUAGCUGAGUGCGGUGGGCUAAUUUAGGAUGAAAUCCAGGACUAUCACAAACCAGCACUGCAGUUCUGGCAUUCGUCAGUGUUGUGAGCAUGGACAAAUUGUCAUUCCUAUCGAGUGCUCGUGCUUGAGCUACAGAAGGCAUUUGACACCACUGGACUUUAAAGCUCUUUCUGAGGAGUAUCACAACCCGGCCUUGAGAGAUCUGCAGUUUUGGAGUGUUUCAGGUUUUUAAGAGGUACUUCGAUUACAUGAGGUAGUGAGUAAGGAUGAAGUGAAGGAGAAGUAACAAAGAAAGGGCUGCAUAUUUUCUGCUUUACAUGGUCGUGAAUGAGAUCUGCUCUGAGCACCAGGAGCAAUGUUGCCAGAGAUCAGCACACCACCCAGGGGAUGCCAAUUGUAGGUGUGCAGAAAUAAUGGUGUGACUCAAGACUGCUUUGACAGGCAAAUCCAUCUGAAGUCUGGGCAUAUCUAUCUAUUGGCUGGAAAAAAAGUUGAACCGUUUGUGUAAGAAAUAACAAUUCACACAAGUUCCUAACAUGAAUGAGCACAUACAAAGUAUGAAAAACUGUUCUACAGCUUCAAGUGUGACAGCUUGUUCAGCAAGGUGCUACAUAGUAUAAUUGCUCUGUAAAGGGAGUAGAUGUUUUGUCUUUGUUUUACUUUUUAUUGGAUGCUCGAGGUGGUUAUGUAGUCUGCAUCUACUACGCAUUAUGUACUGGUUACAUGCCGGUACUGCCCAGUUAUGCCUGACCAACUCCUCUUUGCUGUGGUUGUUUCUCUUCCACUCUCCCCACCUUGAAAGCCUCAGACAUCCAAGCCAGAGCUAUUUCAGUAACUGCAGCUAUGCCACUGAAUUGUAACUUUCAUUUUAUGUUGGGGAACUAAUCUGAGAGAUGCCUAAUGAUCCCAGGAGAAGGAUCUCCCAGCACAGCAUAAUCUAAUGGAUAUUUAGAGUGGCAAUCUAGCAGGGACAACAAAUGAAGCAGUGCUGGAAAUCCAUGGUUGCAACAGCAGCUCAAAUUUAAAACGUUUCUGCUCCCUGUAUCUGCAUUUCACACAGCUAUCAGUAUCAGCUUAUUCUGUAAGCUUAGCUGGCUCUUCUCUUCCUCCUCAAAAUCCCUCCCAGAAGCUCCUUGCUGCAGCCCUGUUUGCCAAUUAGCCUCUGCUUCUGUUGUGUGCAGCUAUGGCUUAGGAAAAAGCAGUACUUUUUUUAUUCCAUCUGUGGAACAAACUGCCUUGUGCUUCUGUUCCACCCAAGGGGAGGAUCUUUGGCCCCCUAAAACUGUUUGGCUUCCUUCCACCCAUGACUGUACCAUGGGUGUAGGUCAAACCUGCCAUGCCAUUCUGUUGUUAGCCUACCAACGCAGGGCAUCUGCAUUCCUACUGACACGUGGUUGAGGAUGUCUGGCAACAUCUUUGCUUCCAAAGCAUGCAACAGACUCAUUACUUUCUCUCCUUCCGGAAAAAUAAAGUCAGGAAAACCUCUUGUUUCACACUGAGCUGUGCAGGAUGUUGGAAGCUCCUUUUGAGCCAUCAUCUCACAGGCUGUAUGGCUGCCUUCUUUCUUCUUAAGAGUAACUGGGGACCCUGAAGUGGAGACUGAGUCUCUCCUUUCAUUUGGUUGUAUUGGGUGAAUUACCUACUUUGGAGCCUCAUGGAAGAGGUGUUGUAAAUGAAAGCAGCUUUUGCAUGUUUUUAUUUUUCUUCCCAGAAAAUCUCUUACCCAUUUCACACCUGGUCAUUUUCAUGUCCAUAACCUGAAAAACAGUCCAAGUAGCACAUAGUGAACUUCAUUAUUAGCAUACGUGGUAAAUCACAGUGCAAGAGUUAGAUUUGGUUUUGCAAUUGGAAUACAUACAUAUCUAUCCAUAGCUUUAUGGUCUGGACAUUAGAGAAGAAUUCAUCCAGAUGGAUGGAGAAGGGAAAUCACUUGUAAAUUGCAAAUGAAAAUGUCUCAGUCUCUAUAGAUUUGGCACAGAAAUAGGAGCAGUGGGAAAAAGCAGCUUAUUCACCCUUUAAGGUGAAAAGAAAGCAUGUUCCCAAAAUAUAUUAAAUCACAGAUCUAGUCAUAUACUCUUCCAUGUUACAUGAUAGAUUCAUUUCUGUUCUUUUAAAACCAUCCUUUUGUGGUCCAUUAGACCAGCUUACCAACUGGGUUGCUGGUAGGUUAAAUUUGUAGUUGUAAUCUCUUGAUGUUAAAACAAUCUUUUUUCUUGAACUUGCAGGCGCAGAGCCAUGUCUUUCAGUAUGCUACUAUUAGUAGGCAAAGAACUAUAAUUUGCAUAUUGGAAAAUGAAGUGGGGAGAUGUUUAACGUUCACCGUUAGUUUUUAAUUAAGAAAUUAAUACGAUGAGCCAAUAAGACCUUUAAUUCUGUGUCUGUACUAGAUACUGAUACCAAUAAAUUCUUUGUAUUUCUUUUUUGUUAAAACUGUGAGCCGUGUCUCUUUCUCACUGCUGUCAAACAGGCAGUCCUGGAUGCACUAAUGCACCUGAAUGACUUUACUUAGGUGAGUGCUUUAUAUUGAUUGGGAUUGGCACUGGGUUAAUUUGGAGGCUCUGGAGCACUCAGUUGAGAGCUCUUAGGAACAGGA
ensembl:lncRNA